rnacentral:rRNA from 1 species
GGGUUGUGAGGUUAAGCGACUAAGCGUACACGGUGGAUGCCCUGGCAGUCAGAGGCGAUGAAGGACGUGCUAAUCUGCGAUAAGCGCCGGUAAGGUGAUAUGAACCGUUAUAACCGGCGAUUUCCGAAUGGGGAAACCCAGUGUGACUCGUCACACUAUCAUUAACUGAAUCCAUAGGUUAAUGAGGCGAACCGGGGGAACUGAAACAUCUAAGUACCCCGAGGAAAAGAAAUCAACCGAGAUUCCCCCAGUAGCGGCGAGCGAACGGGGAGGAGCCCAGAGCCUGAAUCAGCAUGUGUGUUAGUGGAAGCGUCUGGAAAGGCGCGCGAUACAGGGUGACAGCCCCGUACACAAAAGCGCAUGUGCUGUGAGCUCGAUGAGUAGGGCGGGACACGUGGUAUCCUGUCUGAAUAUGGGGGGACCAUCCUCCAAGGCUAAAUACUCCUGACUGACCGAUAGUGAACCAGUACCGUGAGGGAAAGGCGAAAAGAACCCCGGCGAGGGGAGUGAAAAAGAACCUGAAACCGUGUACGUACAAGCAGUGGGAGCACAGGUUUACCUGUGUGACUGCGUACCUUUUGUAUAAUGGGUCAGCGACUUAUAUUCUGUAGCAAGGUUAACCGUAUAGGGGAGCCGUAGGGAAACCGAGUCUUAACCGGGCGUUAAGUUGCAGGGUAUAGACCCGAAACCCGGUGAUCUAGCCAUGGGCAGGUUGAAGGUUGGGUAACACUAACUGGAGGACCGAACCGACUAAUGUUGAAAAAUUAGCGGAUGACCUGUGGCUGGGGGUGAAAGGCCAAUCAAACCGGGAGAUAGCUGGUUCUCCCCGAAAGCUAUUUAGGUAGCGCCUCGUGAAUUCAUCUCCGGGGGUAGAGCACUGUUUCGGCUAGGGGGCCAUCCCGGCUUACCAACCCGAUGCAAACUGCGAAUACCGGAGAAUGUUAUCACGGGAGACACACGGCGGGUGCUAACGUCCGUCGUGAAGAGGGAAACAACCCAGACCGCCAGCUAAGGUCCCAAAGUCAUGGUUAAGUGGGAAACGAUGUGGGAAGGCCCAGACAGCCAGGAUGUUGGCUUAGAAGCAGCCAUCAUUUAAAGAAAGCGUAAUAGCUCACUGGUCGAGUCGGCCUGCGCGGAAGAUGUAACGGGGCUAAACCAUGCACCGAAGCUGCGGCAGCGACGCUGAUGCGUUGUUGGGUAGGGGAGCGUUCUGUAAGCCUGUGAAGGUGGCCUGUGAGGGUUGCUGGAGGUAUCAGAAGUGCGAAUGCUGACAUAAGUAACGAUAAAGCGGGUGAAAAGCCCGCUCGCCGGAAGACCAAGGGUUCCUGUCCAACGUUAAUCGGGGCAGGGUGAGUCGACCCCUAAGGCGAGGCCGAAAGGCGUAGUCGAUGGGAAACGGGUUAAUAUUCCCGUACUUGGUGUUACUGCGAAGGGGGGACGGAGAAGGCUAUGUUGGCCGGGCGACGGUUGUCCCGGUUUAAGCGUGUAGGUGUGUGUUCCAGGUAAAUCCGGUUCACUUUAACACUGAGGCGUGAUGACGAGGCACUACGGUGCUGAAGCAACAAAUGCCCUGCUUCCAGGAAAAGCCUCUAAGCAUCAGGUAACAUCAAAUCGUACCCCAAACCGACACAGGUGGUCAGGUAGAGAAUACCAAGGCGCUUGAGAGAACUCGGGUGAAGGAACUAGGCAAAAUGGUGCCGUAACUUCGGGAGAAGGCACGCUGACACGUAGGUGAAGUGAUUUACUCAUGGAGCUGAAGUCAGUCGAAGAUACCAGCUGGCUGCAACUGUUUAUUAAAAACACAGCACUGUGCAAACACGAAAGUGGACGUAUACGGUGUGACGCCUGCCCGGUGCCGGAAGGUUAAUUGAUGGGGUCAGCGCAAGCGAAGCUCCUGAUCGAAGCCCCGGUAAACGGCGGCCGUAACUAUAACGGUCCUAAGGUAGCGAAAUUCCUUGUCGGGUAAGUUCCGACCUGCACGAAUGGCGUAAUGAUGGCCAGGCUGUCUCCACCCGAGACUCAGUGAAAUUGAACUCGCUGUGAAGAUGCAGUGUACCCGCGGCAAGACGGAAAGACCCCGUGAACCUUUACUAUAGCUUGACACUGAACAUUGAGCCUUGAUGUGUAGGAUAGGUGGGAGGCUUUGAAGCGUGGACGCCAGUCUGCAUGGAGCCGGCCUUGAAAUACCACCCUUUAAUGUUUGAUGUUCUAACGUGGACCCGUGAUCCGGGUUGCGGACAGUGUCUGGUGGGUAGUUUGACUGGGGCGGUCUCCUCCUAAAGAGUAACGGAGGAGCACGAAGGUUGGCUAAUCCUGGUCGGACAUCAGGAGGUUAGUGCAAUGGCAUAAGCCAGCUUGACUGCGAGCGUGACGGCGCGAGCAGGUGCGAAAGCAGGUCAUAGUGAUCCGGUGGUUCUGAAUGGAAGGGCCAUCGCUCAACGGAUAAAAGGUACUCCGGGGAUAACAGGCUGAUACCGCCCAAGAGUUCAUAUCGACGGCGGUGUUUGGCACCUCGAUGUCGGCUCAUCACAUCCUGGGGCUGAAGUAGGUCCCAAGGGUAUGGCUGUUCGCCAUUUAAAGUGGUACGCGAGCUGGGUUUAGAACGUCGUGAGACAGUUCGGUCCCUAUCUGCCGUGGGCGCUGGAGAACUGAGGGGGGCUGCUCCUAGUACGAGAGGACCGGAGUGGACGCAUCACUGGUGUUCGGGUUGUCAUGCCAAUGGCACUGCCCGGUAGCUAAAUGCGGAAGAGAUAAGUGCUGAAAGCAUCUAAGCACGAAACUUGCCCCGAGAUGAGUUCUCCCUGAGACUUAGAGUCUCCUGAAGGAACGUUGAAGACGACGACGUUGAUAGGCCGGGUGUGUAAGCGCAGCGAUGCGUUGAGCUAACCGGUACUAAUGAACCGUGAGGCUUAACCUUACAACGCCGAAG